AAGCUACCCUGCAAUACUACAAUAAUUCUUACUCCAUUAUUACGUUAAAUGGAUAAUAAUAUUUGUAUAUUUUAUAUCUAAUCCAAAUAUAUUGACGAUGUAUAAAUCUUUAUAAAAUACAUAAAUAUUACACUAUAAUAAUAUAAUAAUAAUAAAAGAGUGAUUUCAUUAUUCAACCUUUCGUACUUAAUCAAUAAUUUUAACAAAUUUGUAGAAUCUCUCUCUCUCAUAAAUUCACAUACUCCUACUUCUCUGUAAUUAUUUGACUUUAAAUCCUUGGUCGGUUCUUCAACUUGUACGGUUGUGAGUUCUAAAUUCAGGUAUGGCGUCGAAACGCAUCUUGAAGGAGCUCAAGGAUUUGCAGAAGGAUCCUCCCACAUCAUGCAGUGCAGUUUAGCUAGGUGCAAAGAAG